UGAGUACGAGCUGCUACGGCAGCGAAGUGGGUGAUGUCAAGCUUCCAAGAAAAGCCCUAUACCCGUUAAGGCAUGAUGGCCUGUACCCGAAACCGACACAGGUGGGGUGGUAGAGAAUACCGAGGGGCGCGAGGUAACUCUCUCUAAGGAACUCGGCAAAAUGGCCCCGUAACUUCGGGAGAAGGGGUGCCACCGCAAGGUGGUCGCAGUGAAGAGGCCCAGGCGACUGUUUACCAAAAACACAGGUCUCCGCUAAGUCGCAAGACGAUGUAUGGGGGCUGACGCCUGCCCAGUGCCGGAAGGUUAAGGAAGCUGGUCAGCGCAAGCGAAGCUGGCGACUGAAGCCCCGGUGAACGGCGGCCGUAACUAUAGCGGUCCUAAGGUAGCGAAAUUCCUUGUCGGGUAAGUUCCGACCCGCACGAAAGGCGUAACGAUCUGGGCGCUGUCUCGGAGAGAGGCUCGGCGAAAUAGAAUUGUCUGUGAAGAUGCGGACUACGUGCACCCGGACAGAAAGACCCUAUGAAGCUUUACUGUAGCUUGGUAUUGUGCCCGGGCUCUGAAUGCGCAGGAUAGGUGGGAGGCUUUGAUCCAUUGCUUGUGGGUGAUGGUGAGCCACUGGUGAGAUACCACUCUUUCAGAGCUAGGGUUCUAACGGUCACCCGUUAUCCGGGGACCGGACAGUAUCAGGUGGGCUGUUUGACUGGGGCGGUCGCCUCCUAAAAGGUAACGGAGGCGCGCAAAGGUUCCCUCAGGCUGGUUGGAAAUCAGCCGACGAGUGUAAAGGCAGAAGGGAGCUUGACUGUGAGACCUACAAGUCGAACAGGGACGAAAGUCGGCCUUAGUGAUCCGACGGUUCUGAGUGGAAGGGCCGUUGCUCAACGGAUAAAAGUUACUCUAGGAUAACAGGCUGAUCUCCCCCAAGAGUUCACAUCGACGGGGAGGUUUGGCACCUCGAUGUCGGCUCAUCGCAACCUGGGGCUGAAGUCGGUCCCAAGGGUUGGGCUGUUCGCCCAUUAAAGCGGUACGCGAGCUGGUUCAGAACGUCGUGAGACAGUUCGGUCCAUAUCCGGUGCACGCGCAGGAACAUUGAGAGGAUUUCUCCCUAGUACGAGAGGACCGGGAGGAACGCACCUCUGGUGUACCAGUUAUCGUGCCAACGGUAAACGCUGGGUAGCCAUGUGCGGAGUGGAUAACCGCUGAAAGCAUCUAAGUGGGAAGCCCACCUCAAGAUGAGUGUUCCCAUGGCAUAAGCCAGUAAGGUCACGGGAAGAACACCCGUUGAUAGGCUCUACGUGGAAGCGUGGCAACACGUGAAGCGGAGGAGUACUAAUAGACCGAGGGCUUGGC
rnacentral:rRNA from 1 species